UCAGGAGCUUGACUAGGCCAGAAGUUGAAG
rnacentral:piRNA from 1 species